rnacentral:rRNA from 1 species
UACAAUGGUCAUGCCACCCUGAACGUUCCGGAUCUCAUCUGAUCUUGGAAGCUAAGCAGGAUCGGGCCUGGUUAAUGCUUGGAAGGGAGACCACCGAGGAAUACCAAGUGCUGUAGGCG